UUCCUACGGGAGGCAGCAGUGAGGAAUAUUGCGCAAUGGGGGCAACCCUGACGCAGCGACGCCGCGUGAGUGAGGAAGGCCUUCGGGUCGUAAAGCUCUGUCAAAGGGAAAGAAGUGCAUGGUGGCUAAUACCUGCCAUGUUUGACGGUACCCUUAAAGGAAGCACCGGCUAACUCCGUGCCAGCAGCCGCGGUAAUACGGAGGGUGCAAGCGUUGUUCGGAAUCACUGGGCGUAAAGGGCGCGUAGGCGGUUUGAUAAGUCAGAUGUGAAAGCCCACGGCUUAACCGUGGAAGUGCAUUUGAAACUGUCAGACUUGAGUAUCAGAGGGGAAAGUGGAAUUCCCGGUGUAGAGGUGAAAUUCGUAGAUAUCGGGAGGAAUACCGGUGGCGAAGGCGACUUUCUGGCUGAAUACUGACGCUGAGGCGCGAAAGCGUGUGGAGCAAACAGGAUUAGAUACCCGUGUAGUCG
rnacentral:rRNA from 1 species